rnacentral:rRNA from 1 species
GACGAACGCUGGCGGCGUGCUUAACACAUGCAAGUCGAACGGAAAGGCCCUGCUUUUGUGGGGUGCUCGAGUGGCGAACGGGUGAGUAACACGUGAGUAACCUGCCCUUGACUUUGGGAUAACUUCAGGAAACUGGGGCUAAUACCGGAUAGGAGCUCCUGCUGCAUGGUGGGGGUUGGAAAGUUUGGGCGGUUGGGGAUGGACUCGCGGCUUAUCAGCUUGUUGGUGGGGUAGUGGCUUACCAAGGCUUUGACGGGUAGCCGGCCUGAGAGGGUGACCGGCCACAUUGGGACUGAGAUACGGCCCAGACUCCUACGGGAGGCAGCAGUGGGGAAUAUUGCACAAUGGGCGGAAGCCUGAUGCAGCAACGCCGCGUGCGGGAUGAAGGCCUUCGGGUUGUAAACCGCUUUCGCCUGUGACGAAGCGUGAGUGACGGUAAUGGGUAAAGAAGCACCGGCUAACUACGUG